rnacentral:rRNA from 1 species
AUGGCUCCUAGGAAGAAGCUCAAGAGUGCGCCGCCGGUGACGGAGAGCACCACCGUCCACGACCUCCCCGACAGUCUCCUGCAGCACGUGCUCUCCUUCCUCCCAGCGCAGGCGGCUGUUCGGACGUGCGUGCUCGCCCGGCGCUGGCGCCACCUUUGGAGGUCCACCACAGGCCUGCGCAUCGUAGGCCUCGACGAUGAGGAGAAUGCCCAAGUCCAAGACCUCCGGAAGUUCGUGGAACAUCUGCUCAUGCUGCGCGAGCGCACCGACCUUGAAAGUGUUGAGAUGAAAUUCCACAGUUGCUCCGAUGACGAAAAGCCCUAUGUGAAUCUGUGGAUCCGUUUCUCUGUGAUUUGCAAAGUUCGGGUGCUCACCCUUCAUAUCCUUGAGGCUGAUUACCUCCCCCUAGACGACCUGCCUCUUGUGUCUCGGCACCUGAAAACAUUGGACCUUUGUGGUCUACUCCUACAAAAGACCUUUCUUGAUUUUGCUAGUUGUCCAGCAUUGGAGAAUCUGAAGAUGAAUGAUUGCAAAAUCAAUGGUUGGAAGAUAUCGUCCCUUUCCCUAAAGCAUUUCAGCAUCACUACUUGCUUCUCUGACCUAGAUUGCCGGCUCAACAUUUCUACUCCAGGCCUUGUCUCUUUGAAACUAGAUGGCUUUUCGGGUAAAACCCCUUUUCUUGAAAACAUGCCGUUGCUACAGACAGCAUGCGUGAAUCUUGGCAUAGGCUGCGAAGAUGUCUGUUUGAAUUAUAACUAUGGUAUCUUCUGUGGAGCUAAUAAGAAUGGAUGUGGGAAUUGUCUAUCAAAAAACGAUGGCCGCAGCGAUUGCGUGCUUCUAGGUGGGAUCUCAAGUGCUAAACAUCUUGAACUGAUAUCUAAAUUGGGAAAGUUCAUUUUCACAAGAGAUUUGAAUUGCCGCCCUACAUUUAGUAAGUUAAACACUUUAUUACUCAAUGAGUACUGGUGCGAGGCUCCUGACCUGGGUCCACUAGCUUGCAUUCUGCAAAAUUCACCAGUUCUAGAGAAGCUCACUCUUCAACUUUUCUCCAAGGGACCAGAUCAUAAAGUGGAAAUGAAAGGAAGCUACAUUCCGAUGGAGGGUCCGUCUGCAAUAUCAGAGCACCUUAACAUGGUUGAAAUCAAGUGUAAUGUGGUCGACGAGAAGAUUCUCAAAGUCUUGAAGCUCUUGUCUGCAUUUAACAUACGAUUCGGUUUCUUGUAA